GAGCGCGAUCUCACAUGGGAGACUCAGAGUUCCAACUAUUCCGGUAGCAAGCUCCAGCAGGUAGAAACAAAAAAAAACACAAAGUACUAAAAAAGAAAGCAGGCAGAGAGCAAUAAGCACGUGAGAAGAUGAGCUACACGUCAUCAGAUGAGCAAAGCAGUCAGAGCCUGGAAGUCGUAGGACUGGGCUCUGUGAGUGACAGCGGCUGCAGAGGAGUCGGUGGAAAGAGAAUUGGCAGGAGCCAACACCUCUACCUGAACGGUGUCUGUACACCUGCGACAUCUCCGGUGGCCGGCAUCUCCCGCCUUACUGCUCUUGGAAAUUUUCAGGGUCUCAGCUCCACCGCAGGUGACCUGAAUCAGUACCUGGGGACGUGGCCUGGGCAUCUGUGUUUUGAAGUUCUCUGUGUAAUGCAAUAUACCAUAGGUGUCAAAAACCAAUGACCAAUGACUCAGAUGGCACUUCUCAAACCUGUGCAGCACCAGAAUCGCUCCAGAGCGUUGUGAAACCGGAUCUCAGCACAGCACAGUCUCCUCGUGUAGGCUGGGGUGCGGCCUGCACCACUCUCUUGCGGCUGCCGAAACAAAUGACCACCACCUGGCUUACGACAACGAGAAAGGGGACCAGAAGUCCAAGAACGAGAUGUCCCCAUGAAGUCCUUGUGACAUGAUUGCUGGAGGGAAAGAUCGCGCAUGAUUCUUCUGCUUACCUGUGACAGACUACAAGUACUCAUUGGCUACUUAUGGAAAUUAUGACAUUAUGAAGUCAUAUUCAUAGAAACCAACAGUAUGUUACAAUUCACAGGAGACCAGCCUUCGAUUCGAGCAUAUUUGCAGAAGGAGAUUGAACUGUAAAAUAUGCUUAAAGGGUUUAGCUUUAUCAAAUUCUGUCUUUUGGUCAAAAACUUACAAAGCAAAAAGGUAAUAAACCCUUCGCUCAGAAGCAUUUUUAA